GCCCAGAGAAAUCUGGUUCACAACAAGAGGCUGCGCCCCCUUAGCUCAGUCGGCAGAGCGUUUCCAUGGUAAG
rnacentral:tRNA from 1 species